rnacentral:rRNA from 1 species
UACGUAGGGUCCGAGCGUUGUCCGGAAUUAUUGGGCGUAAAGGGCUCGUAGGCGGUCUGUUGCGUCGGGAGUGAAAACUUACAGCUUAACUGUGAGCGUGCUUCCGAUACGGGCAGACUUGAGGUAUUCAGGGGAGAACGGAAUUCCUGGUGUAGCGGUGAAAUGCGUAGAGAUCAGGAGGAACACCCGUGGCGAAGGCGGGUCUCUGGGCCGAAACUGACGCUGAGGAGCGAAAGCGUGGGGAGCAAACAGG